rnacentral:rRNA from 1 species
CCUACGGGUGGCAGCAGUGGGGAAUAUUGGACAAUGGGCGAAAGCCUGAUCCAGCCAUGCCGCGUGUGUGAAGAAGGCCUUCGGGUUGUAAAGCACUUUCAGUGGGGAAGAAAGCCUUGGGGCUAAUACCCUCGAGGAAGGACAUCACCCACAGAAGAAGCACCGGCUAACUCCGUGCCAGCAGCCGCGGUAAUACGGAGGGUGCGAGCGUUAAUCGGAAUUACUGGGCGUAAAGCGCGCGUAGGCGGUCUGAUAAGCCGGUUGUGAAAGCCCCGGGCUCAACCUGGGAACGACAUCCGGAACUGUCAGGCUAGAGUGCAGGAGAGGAAGGUAGAAUUCCCGGUGUAGCGGUGAAAUGCGUAGAGAUCGGGAGGAAUACCAGUGGCGAAGGCGGCCUUCUGGACUGACACUGACGCUGAGGUGCGAAAGCGUGGGUAGCAAACAGGAUUAGAUACACGAGUAGUC